AUGGCUUCAUCCGGUUCUAGGACGAGGCCGGCGUGCGCGGACCAAGAGGACAUGCCGAAGACGUGGAUGGAGGCCAGUUUGGACAAGGAGAAGGAUGUGCCCACACCAUCAUGUUGGUGUGCUGAUGUUUGCAAGCUGAAGGUGUCCACUGACCGCAACAAGUCAUGGACAGAAGGUAGAAUGUUUUUCGUGUGUCCCAACUAUGCACAUGAUCGUCGAAGGCCAACUAACGCAUAUGACAUACCACCGAUAUGUUAG
rnacentral:rRNA from 1 species